UACGGAGGGUGCAAGCGUUAUCCGGAUUCACUGGGUUUAAAGGGUGCGUAGGUGGGUUGGUAAGUCAGUGGUGAAAUCCCCGAGCUUAACUUGGGAACUGCCAUUGAUACUAUCAGUCUUGAAUAUUGUGGAGGUUAGCGGAAUAUGUCAUGUAGCGGUGAAAUGCUUAGAUAUGACAUAGAACACCAAUUGGGAAGGCAGCUGGCUACGCAUAUAUUGACACUGAGGCACGAAAGCGUGGGGAUCAAACAGG
rnacentral:rRNA from 1 species